GGUCGUUUACAAGUCUUAAAAGUUGAAGUGAAUGGAUAAUGACUACCGAGAUUUAUUUCCGUUUUUCUUAGCCAAAGCUAUGAGGUUAGGUAGUAUUUGGAAACAAAUACAUGCAGCUGUAACCUUACGGACAUUUCUUUCAAAUUGUUGAGCAAUACCUCAGUGGAUGACAUGAAACAAGAGAUCCAUCGAAAAUUGUUUACUUGAAGUCUGAAGCGUUUGAAACUUAAUCUAUGCUGAACCAACUGUCCAACAUCUGACAACCGAUGGCAUGUGAUUGGUGAAUUCGCACUUGACUUAUCAAGAUUAAUUAGAGAGUUCAAGGUAAAAUUUUGUCUGGUUUGGCGAUUUCGCACGCAGUGUCAGUAGUGUUCGUUGAUCGUAUAACUGGAAUUAAACAGGAAGGCUUUUUCGGCAUAGAGUUUGGUAAGGAAACAGUGAGGUUAGGGAGACAAAGUCAACAAAGAGUCCGCCAAAUUGAUUGAAAACUUACACCAUAAAGGAGUUAGUGCGGAGCUUGGACACGAAGAAGUCACAGUUUCAACGGAGCCAUGUUUGCUGUCAAAGAGGAGCGCACGGUUAUAGGAGGCGUUGAAUUGGCGAGGAAGACAGUAGUCGCGGCUACAGGGGAGGGAAUUAUCAACAGGGAAUACAUAGAAGCUCGAAGAGAGGUAGAUUUGCCUGGAAGUGUUCCUGCUGUUGCAUAUCCAAGCGCACCUCCCGCUCUGCCUCCACCCCCACCCCAACCCAUGAUAACAGCCCCCCCAUCGCCAAAAGGGUUUAGCUGGAUGGAGUGUUGCUUCAAGUGUGACGAUCAACACGAAUGGUACCAACUAGGCGGGAAGGGUUUUUGCUUUGUAUUGUUACUUCUCCUGGCUUAUGUGGUCGCUGGAGGUCUUAUACUUGCAUAUUUCGGUGUGUUGUGUAUAUUUGCAACCCUCCUAGACUGUGACUGUGACUGACAUUUGACUAUAUCAGUCUAUAUUCUUUCUAUAACAAGGAGUUUCAUCAGUAUUAAGCGGUAAAAUCGCGUCAAAAAAUUAGAACGCAAUACUUGAACUUUAUUUUGAAAAUCAUUAUGUAGAAAUUGUGAUUUUGGAAAUUAAAACGCAAAACUUAGCAUAAUUUAUAACUUAAUGCUGCAGAAAUGACAGCAGAUGUCAGCUGGAAAAGUUAUGUCGAGCACCUAACCCACCCUUUCUUAAGCAGUACAUUGCAUUGGUGGUUUUCAUGUCAGUGUUCCAUUCGCCAACAAGUGGCAAAGGACUGGUAUAAGAUAAGUAUUUGAGAAGUAAAGGAUUAGCUCUUGUCUGUUUUGUCUCGUUCUGAAGAGCACGACAGCAGGAAAUUAAGUUACCGGUAAGUUGAGUUUAAGGUCAUUUGGCUCGGUAAAUCAGUCUUUUCACAUCUUUUAUUUUUGAUUUGUACUCAAUUAAGAUGCUAAGCGAAGAUUGUAGCUCCAGUUGAAUUUCUGUCAAGGAAACGACCAAAUAAGAAACGUGAACGAGCAAGGAAUUUCUUCCGUUAACCACAGCCGUGUACACAUGUCAUAUGCUUAGAAAAUUCUUCGUAGUCAACUGCACUAUAACUUUAGCAAACCCUGCGCAUGUGCAAGAGUCGUUGCUCAGCUUUUCCCUGACAGACCUGUAAUCAACAACAUUGUGGUACAACGGAAAAUAAAUAAGUGGUAAUUCAUUGAUUCCUGGUUUGCGUUUCUCUAUCGUCUGUAAGCAUAAGUUCAAACGUACUACAGACAUAAACAUAGAAACACUAGUGUCCUUUCUAAAUAGUUUGGUUAGUUUCGAAACUUAGCCAUGUCACUCAUGUGAACUAGGCUUAAAGCGAUCGAAUGGAGAUUAGUCUUUCAAACGAUUAAAAAUUUGUUGACACUGUUAUGUGGUUUGGCUGCCUGCCUGUUCAGUCACCAACUCCCACGACGGAUCGAUAGCGUUCCCGUGAGCCUUUGUUUACGCUCGGAUAAGUGUGCUUAUCAGCUGAUGUUUCAUUCAGACGAUUCCAACACUCAGAUGACCUCCUCACGUUCCGUUCAAAUAUUUUCGGUGUUUUUGCCUUACAGGUAUUGCAUUGGAGUAUUAAAUGCAAGGGAGAGACCAUCAUAUUUCCAAGGAGAAGCGGGUCAUGAUAUUAAUGUUUUAUCCUCACGUUGAGCAAGAUUUUCAUUUGGAAUUAAGUACGACGCUUGUGCAUGAUUUUUAAAAAGUCGCAAUUAGAGUAGAAAGUAUGCAAACAUGAACAGAGUAGAAACUGUUUGCUCGAUUUUUGCCCUUGUGGCUUCCCUUUGAGCAAAUUAUACCGCAGUUUUUAUAGCGUGUGAAGUUUCUUUCGUUAUACUUGCCUAACCAAUUGCGAACCUCUUGCAGUCUAAUCUUUGCAUUUCGCCUGACUGAGCCUUUAUACGCUUUAUCUUAGCAAGGUCACGCAUUAAAAGCGGGACAAGAGACUUUCAUGGAAUACAAAGUUGCAGGAACCCUUGAUGUGAAUCGGAAAUAUCUUGAAAUUUCCACUGGAUUUCGGCUAUUUAGGAACAAGUUUUAUGGUUGAAAUGGACGAUGGAAAAGAUACCACAGGCGUUUUGGCUGUUGGUGCAGAACACAACGCGGAAACGGCUUUCAAUUCAUUGCCACUAAAAACAGCUGAAUGGUCAGUGUCUAUGACCCAUAGUGUCAUUUAGAAAAAAUAAUGUUACAUCUGUUUUUCUAGCUCCUUCUCCUCUGUUUCAAGAAAGUUGAUACAUUUUGCCGUCAGUUUCCGCGAUACUCAUCAGUUUGUGGCCAUCAAUAUAUAGUCGAUUGAAAUUAACUAUAAUAACAGAUCUGCCAAAGAUUAUGUGUUCAGCGAUUAUAGUAACUUCCGGAGUAUCCACCCGGAAACUGAUUAACUUCACGUCUGUCCAUUUCAAUGAGUUCUUAAUCAAAAUUUGGAGAAGUGCACGUAGAGGGUGUGGCUUUCAAAUGACAUUCCACCAACUGAUGUCACUCACGUUUCCUCCACAACUGGGGUUUGAAGACUGAUCUUGACCAUUUAAAACCGAAUCCACGCAAGCACUGGCUUGCAUUGAUCGAAGAAGUUGUGAUAAAUUUCUCAAUCAUGCCUCAGCCAGCUACUGGGUUUCCACUGGAGACAUUUAAGCCUUGGAGCAUAAUCAUAUGAAUGACUGUUGAUGAUCUUCAAAGUGUUGUUGUGUAGAAUUGUAUAAAUCAGUCCUAACGAACUUGAUGUUGUUGUGCUUUUAAUGUUGGCGAUGUUCAAGUUAUGACUGUGGAACCGACGAGGUAAAAAUGCCGAUUUCUGUGUCAUGGUUAAUUAGAUCAUGAUGCCAUCGAGAUGGACAAGCAAUUGGCACAGUUGUCCUCGUUCUCUACCAACAAUUUAUUCCACUCCAAGGAUUAUCGCCCUGCGUAACACCCUCGGUCAUUAGCAACGUUGUAAAGAUGGAAGUAAAGAAGAAGCUGACCUUCAAUGACUUCUGUACACCUAAAAGCGGCCAGCAGGAAUUGUUGAGAACUUUCACAACACCCAGUUUGAAUCCCCUACAACGGUCUCUGCAUCAUCAUAUCCCAGCCCUGCUGUCAGUGUCGCUUCCCCAUCCAGUGACUGCAGUGGUGAGAUGUGCUGUAUGUUUUGUUUGGAGUGCGUUACAUGCCUUUGGGAAUGCCUUUGUUAUCGGUGCGAGAGGAUGAAAGAAUGUGCUGACUUUUGGGAGACAUUUUUGCGUUGAUUUUUCGUUGUGCACUCUUUGUGAAUUAGUUCAAAGGUGUGACUAUCCGAAAAGGAAGAAACAAGAGCUUGAUCUUCCUCUGUUUCGUCGACAUUUCGGAGUUUCCUUUGCACAAAAUUUCCAUCCAAAGUACGAUAGUAAAGCUUCUACCUUUUGAUUAUAUCCAUUAACCUCUGUAACAGGAUGAUUAUCACACUUUAAAGACUCAAUAAGUCAGUGCUAUUCAUACUAAGUCACGCUAGGUGACACUGUCACGUAAGCCCACGCUCGGCUGUCUUCCUCUUGCGCGGGCUUGUCUCGCUUCAAAUUCAUGUAACGAGAUAAACGCUAUUUACUGUAUGGUCGUUUGAUCUAAAACAAUGCAUAAUAAAUUCAACGCUUAGAUUUGAAACUUAACUUUUGUCAUCAUCAAAACUGUUGCUAUUACUAUCUUUACUAUGUCAUCAAUGACUUGAUUAAACAUGUCAUUUAU
rnacentral:misc_RNA from 1 species